rnacentral:rRNA from 1 species
GACGAACGCUGGCGGCGUGCCUAAUACAUGCAAGUCGAGCGGACAGAAGGGAGCUUGCUCCCGGAAGUUAGCGGCGGACGGGUGAGUAACACGUGGGCAACCUACCCUGUAGAUCGGGAUAACAUCGAGAAAUCGGUGCUAAUACCGGAUAAUCAUUUGAAGUGCGUGCUUCGAAUGCAAAAGAUGGCUCCGGCUAUCACUACGGGAUGGGCCCGCGGGGCAUUAGCUAGUUGGUAAGGUAAUGGCUUACCAAGGCAACGAUGCGUAGCCGACCUGAGAGGGUGAGAGGCCCAACGGGGAAUGAGACACGGGCCAAAAUCCUACGGGAGGCAGCAGUAGGGAAUCUUCCGCGAUGGACGAAAGUCUGACGGAGCAACGCCGCGUGAGUGAUGAAGGUUUUCGGAUCGUAAAGCUCUGUUGUUAGGGAAGAACAAGUGCCGUUUGAAUAAGGCGGCACCUUGACGGUACCUAACCAGAAAGCCACGGCUAACUACGUGCCAGCCGCCGCCGUAAAAC